AAAUAAUGUCAUAUGGAUGUCUAUCCCAUUUGUACAUAAAAACCAUAUGUUAAUUUAAAAAUUUUAUAAAUCGAACUCCUCUAAAACGGAAACGGGUAUCUCAAAAUAUAGAAGAAUUAGAAAAAGAACUAAAUGAGAUAGAAGAAAAAAUUAAAGAGUUUAUAAAAAUUGGAUACAAAUUAGAUAAAUCACAAAUAUAUAUGAACUUG